AAGUAUCUUUGUUUAGUGGUGGAUAUUGCACCGUCCAAAUUGUAUUCCAAGUUUCAAACGUGAGUAUGAAAGUCAUUGUUUUUCCAAGAGUAUACAAAUCUUUCUCACCUCCAACAUCAGAUAUGGCUGAGGAAGUUUGAUAGAGCUUCUCUCUUAGCUUGUAUUCAUGUCAUUUUCCACACGUUUUGCAUAUUCUGUGGUUGUGAGCUUCUACCGGGGAAAGAAGCUUUCAACAAAAGUUGAAGUCAACCAUAUGUGCAGUUGAAGCAGUGCUUAGUGUGACGCAGAGCUGAAUAAUCAAAAGUGGUUCCAUGAUCUAAGUGAUUCUGUAUGUAGUGGAAGUAAUGUUAAAUGGAGUUUCUUCGGAAGUUUCGAAUCCAAAAGGAGGACCUUUCAAGGUAGAGAUUUCUUCCAGUAAUUGCGUACCAAAAAUGACACGGAUAUAUGCACAAUUGUUGGGUGAAUCAUUAAGAAAAAGGAAAUCCUGAUAAAAGUAUGGACAGUGAUGGAACAAUGCAACGUUGUUAUUUUUCUAGUGGUAAAUAUUUAUCAAGAAUUAACGAGUGUUGUUGGGUAAAUAUUUUUCCUAAGUAGAGGCAAGGACUAUGUUUUAGUGAGUGUUCGAAACAAACCCCGAAAGAAAGAUGCACAAGAGGGAGAUAUAUUCAAAGGAAUUGAAGCAUAUACCUCAGGAGCCAUGUAACCAAGGGUUCCAGUUUCACCUGUCAUGUCAUGAGGAUUGGAAGCCUCAAUACGAGCAACUCCAAAAUCAGCUAUUUUCAAGAUUAGGCAUAGGGAUUGGACCCUCUUGCAAGGUCAAGAGCCAGUUGAACAACCACUUUAAAAGCCAGCUUCCGUCUCCGGUUUUUAAUGAGAUAAGACUUCAGCGCACCUCCAGGACAAUAUUCAACAACAACACAACAAACAUUACUUGGCAUACCAAUAUGACCAUUUUCUGUUUGUAUCUGUAGCUCUGAUGUUCCCAUUGUUGCACCAAUAAACUGCAAAUUGCAAAAUGGAUUUCACAGUGACCAUGAAUAAGAAAAUUCUCACAUUAUAUUAGAACUUAUAACAAAAAAACAGAAUCUAACAAUUUCCUUCCAUGUCACACACUUUACGGUUUAAAUUUGCCUAACACAAGGGCAAAUAGGUUGUAAACACUUCAACCAUGGAUAGCCUUGGUCAAAAUACAUGAAUUAGAUAGUAAAUGUAUGAGAAAUUAGAUUAAUGACAACGGUGCAAACAUAACAUAUUAGUUAUGGGGGAUCCUUUAAGACUGGACCAAACUUCAGCCUUAUACACUUGCAGAGGUUUAUUCUCCCCCGGUGUGGAUCUUAAUGCAGCCCACACCUGCCACACUGCCACUCAAUCCUCUUCCCUGUUCCCCAACAUAAUAGAGAAAACAGAAUAACAGAAAAUAAACACCUAGAAGAAUUCAUUUGACACAAAUGUGACCAGAAUCAAGCCAUGUCAUCACAUCACACAAUGAAGAGACAUAACAGUCUGAGGAUUGGACAAUAUUUGACUCCUAGAACAUAUUCCAAUAUUUGGCUCCUAGAAUAGUGGCCUCGUGGAAUGUAUUCUUAAGAUCUUUAUCAUUUAUCUUUCUUCACUUUCCUUGUGCUAAUUUAUACACUUCCUGUUCUUCUCUGACUUGAUUCAUUGUAGCAAAUGAUAGCAUGUAAGUAACUUGUCAUAGUAAGCUAUCCCAGUCUUUCCCAACACAAGAUAAAGGGGAAAGCAAUGAAGGCCAAAAUAUUACCUUGGUUACAUUAGGAUGGUCAAGCUUGUGCCAGACAGCAACUUCUUGUGUAAAAGCAGCUCUCAAAGAAGCUAUUUCAGCCUCUGACCGAUGGCCCUCUUCUCCCCAGUCAAGGAGCUUAACUGAGAAAACAAAAUGAAAGAUAAAUUGAUUGAUACGAAAGCAGCUCGAGAACAGGCAUUCACAAGGUACUUUAGGCUGUUCAUUCAUUUAAAAUUCAGUAGAAAGCUGCAGAGUAAACAAGUUUAGCAUCCAUGAAUUGUUAAGAUAAUAAAGUUCUGCAUAUAACAUCAUGACAAAUGACAAUCAUAAAUCUCAGAAAGAAGUUAGUAUAAUCAAUGAUUUUAACUCCCAUGAGAAGAGUUCCAGUAGCUAACUCCCAGUAGAGGAAUAUUUUAUGAAUGAGGAAUGCAUGUGGCAACAUAAUAACCAGUCAUUACCAGUCAACAACUUCAAUUAUUUUAUUACCACCCCAUAGUAGUUAAAUCAGGGGCACAUCAGUAAUAACCAUGAACACAUGAAAGUUCAAAAAAGGAAAGAAGAAUAUUAAAGUUCAUGCACAUAACUGUCAAGUCAACUGGAUCUUGUGAAUUCAAGGAAAAAGAAAAGAAGUAAAGUAUUCACAAUCUUGUGAAUCACGGAUUUUGUAAAUCUCAAUCCACAAAGUUCCAAUGCUUGCCCGUUGCAUCUCAUCAAACACUAUUAACUUAGAUGACUUCUCAAAGAACUCAACAACACAACAGACAGCAGAAUACAAACUCUUAUCCGAGCAGAAAUUGUUGUUUGAUUUGAUUGUAAAGGAAUGAAAAUAAUGAAAUUACAAAUAGGAGCAGAUAAACAAAACUUAAUCAGUGGAUCUGCUGGCCACCUUAAAACCUUUUAUUACACUUCCAUUGAAAGUUAAGACCUCAAAGGAACAUGAGUUGUCACAUAAACUCGAGAAAAGGCACUUCUCUAUGGAAUCUUGACAUUCACAUAAAAGAAGGCAAAUCAACCCAUCAACAUGCCACCCAUUUCAGGAGGAGAAGACAUUAUGCAAAUUUGCACAUUAUGAUAGUCUCAGUGGAAAACACCAAGUACAUGAGUUUCUCCAAGUACACAAAACUGACCCUUGCACAAGUAAGUAGUGUUAAAACCAAAAAACAAAAAGUGUAAGAAAAGGAGGGAAAAACAAACUGUGCAUGUUUUUUUUUUAUCAGGAAACAGUUACAUAUGACAAAAGACAGACAUCAUAGGAAACCUCAAAAC